UGGAAGUAAAAGUCGUAACAAGGUCUCCGUUGGUGAACCAGCGGAGGGAUCAUUACCGAGUUUACAACUCCCAAACCCAAUGUGAACGUUACCAAACUGUUGCCUCGGCGGGAUCUCUGCCCCGGGUGCGUCGCAGCCCCGGACCAAGGCGCCCGCCGGAGGACCAACCAAAACUCUUAUUGUAUACCCCCUCGCGGGUUUUUUAUAAUCUGAGCCUUCUCGGCGCCCCUCGUGGGCGUUUCGAAAAUGAAUCAAAACUUUCAACAACGGAUCUCUUGGUUCUGGCAUCGAUGAAGAACGCAGCGAAAUGCGAUAAGUAAUGUGAAUUGCAGAAUUCAGUGAAUCAUCGAAUCUUUGAACGCACAUUGCGCCCGCCAGUAUUCUGGCGGGCAUGCCUGUCCGAGCGUCAUUUCAACCCUCGAACCCCUCCGGGGGGUCGGCGUUGGGGAUCGGCCCUCCCUCUGCGGGGGCCGUCUCCGAAAUCCAGUGGCGGUCUCGCCGCAGCCUCUCCUGCGCAGUAGUUUGCACACUCGCACCGGGAGCGCGGCGCGUCCACAGCCGUUAAACACCCAACUUUCUGAAAUGUUGACCUCGGAUCAGGUAGGAAUACCCGCUGAACUUAAGCAUAUCAAUAAGCGGAGGA
rnacentral:rRNA from 1 species